GUGCCAGCAGCCGCGGUAAUACGAGGGGGGCAAAUGUUGUUCGGAAUCACUGGGCGUUAGGGGAGCGUAGGCGGGUUCUUAAGUUAGGUGUUUAAUCCCGGGGCCCAACCCCGGACCGGCACUUAAAACUGGGAAUCUUGAAUAGUGGAGAGGUCGGUGGAAUUGGGGGUGUAGCGGUGGAAUGCGUAGAGAUCCCCAAGAACACCAGUUGCGAAGGCGGCCGACUGGACACAUAUUGACGCUGAGGCUCGAAAGCAUGGGGAGCAAACAGGAUUAGAUACCCUGGUAGUCC
rnacentral:rRNA from 1 species